GAGUAGCUCUAGGGGUGUUGCAUCGGUUUGCAACUGAAAUUAAACCCUCAAAACUUGAUCUGGAUAAUACCAGCGGAAGGAACGAGAUAAUGUAUAAAU
rnacentral:ncRNA from 2 species